rnacentral:lncRNA from 1 species
AGACGACAAAUGCCUAGCCCUCCUCUGCAGCUGGAGCCAGGAGUGUCGCUGACAGGAAUGUUGAUGAACGCCUAACAGCUGGAGAAGAGCCAGCUCCGUCAGCCCCUAGGAAGAUCACAUGUCAGGAAGAGCCCAUUGUCUGACAGUCAAUGAAAUUUCUAUAAGCGACGUUUGUGGAUGUUUCCCUUACCGGAAGGGAUAAAAAUAUACCGGACGGAGACAAGAAUUGAGGACUCGCAGGAUAUUUUAUUGAGACAAGGUGGGUCAACGGGAAGCUGAGCAGUGGGAGACUUGAUGCUCACCGCCCCGUUUUCACCCUCCACUCCCUCUAAGCAACCCUCCAUCUCGCCCAAAGGUCAGGGUCUGCUAGUCAGUGACUUGGAUUUGGGGUCAAAUGUGACAGUGGAAAAGAGAUUUUCCCAAAACCAGAAGAAAAUGGACUGGGACUUAGGAGACCUGAGCAUGACCCGGCAGAGCUGACGAAGGCCACUUUGCACCUCUGGGCUCCAGGGUAACACUGCCCAGAGCCCUGUCCCCAGGGGUGUGGGUGGAUGCCACACUAUGCUCCCCUCUUCUGUUCUCUGCUAACCUAGAACACUGCACACGCUACUUGCUACACAACACUGGGUCCCAGCUUG